UACAGAGGGGGCAAGCGUUGUUCGGAAUUACUGGGCGUAAAGGGCGCGUAGGCGGCCUUCUAAGUCGAACGUGAAAUCCCUGGGCUCAACCCAGGAACUGCGUCCGAGACUGGGAGGCUAGAAUCCGGGAGAGGGAUGUGGAAUUCCAGGUGUAGCGGUGAAAUGCGUAGAUAUCUGGAGGAACAUCGGUGGCGAAGGCGGCAUCCUGGACCGGUAUUGACGCUGAGGCGCGAAAGCCAGGGGAGCAA
rnacentral:rRNA from 1 species